CAAUUCCAGGAGACCCCAUUAAGAACGAAGGAAAGGAAGCAUUUUGAGUGUUAAAUGUAAAAGAUAUUUUACUGGGCAAGAAGGGAAUGGUGAAAGCAAAAAUGGACAGGUUAAAUGUUUUUCUAGUUAGUGCAAUGUGGGCAGAGUGUGGCUGAUUUGCAGAAAUAAACUUAUAGGCUAAAUUUGUUUGGAUUGUAAGUGGUGAUGUUUUUUGUGGAAUUCAAGUGAUCUGUAAUGAGCAGGCUGCAGCAUAUAUCAUAUGAAGAGGGUGAACAUGGUUUGGCAAUGGGUCGUUGUGACUUGGUGCACAGUCUUGUGUGGUGCAAAUUGGCUCCUGAUAAUAUGGCAGAGCAGCAACAAAAGUUUGACCUUUAAGUUGUGGUCACACAUUUCGCCCUCAAAACAUGCUGCAUUACAAUAAUGCCUACAUUUUCUCAUGCACAUACUUCUGGUACAUUAUCCCUAUUGUUGCCCCAACUACAUUUUCUCAUGCACAUACUUCUGGUACUAUUGUUGCCCCAACUCACUCACACCCAGCUCCAUUGAUCAACUUAUUUGUACUUUGUCCCAACAACAACCAAAUCCACCCUGUACCACUAACAAAAUCUGCUGCAAUACAAAAAUCCACUUCUCUUCUCCUCUUAUUUUCUAAAAAUAAAAGUCCAGCUAGGUAGCUUCGAUGCAUCAUCAUCCUGCACAUUACCCAGAAUUCUCUGUGCUUUCAAACAGCUCUAAGGCAAAUAACAAAAUGGCGGACUUAAUGGAUGCUACGAUAGCCCUUUUAUUUAGCUAUUUGAAAAUUUCACCGAGUCUCCUUGUUGGAUUUAGAACUACCAGCGCCAGUGUACGUUAUCUGGAUUUACAGUACGUGCGAUCAGGAAGAAACGAGACCUAGCCACUGUAAGUUGUUGAUUGGUCAGGUUGCCUGACGCAACGGCAUGUGACGCAAAACGAACACUCCUCAUUGGCUGGACAGAUGGAUAAGAGGACGUAGGUGCGUGUAGUAAAGUCACUACCCGGAACUUGGAUUUGGAAGCAAACGUCUCUGUUGGAAGUACUGAAGCCUGCUUCUGUUCAAGUACUCUACUUUGGAAAAGAUGAGUUCACAGACAAUGCUAUUGAGGUUGUGCCAUCUUCAUGGCUUGGACACACUUCUGAGGUACGAGUCUUUUUUUUUUUUUUGUCGAUACAUAGCAAAUAUGUAUGCUUACAUAUAUGCCUAUAUACUU